UUGAGAGCAUGGGAAUUGGCUAAAGCUAGAAACCUGAGUUUCCUCACCCUUGCCAUAAGGCACUUGUCAAACAUUUACCAGCACAACACUGCAUAUAGAACGUGUGAAGGGUGGACCUGAAAUACAGUUGCCGGUAGGACCCAGUGAGGGAGACAUCUGCUUGGAGUUGAGAGCUGAACUUUUGACAGUGGAUGUGUCUACUCAGCAUGGGUAGGAAAAGAGAAAAGUAACCAAGGUGAAAUAUUGGGGGACUAUUUAUAGUUGAUGUAUGUUGACUAAGCAGGCAGCAGAGACUUGGAUGAGAGAUGAAGAAGUAGAAGGAGAAUGGGGAAGAGGCAUUAUCGAGUAUUUACAGUUUAUGAAAGAAGUGGGGGUGUGUCUGGAGUAUUCAGAGAGUGUCAUCACUAAGAAGAGGAGUGGGAGUAGGGACUAGACAGCAGCUUCUGUUCAGCCUCCUCUCCCUGCUGAGACCCCCAAAAUGCAGCUGUAAAGUGGACAGGUUUCCAUCUAGGACCUCACAUAACUAGUGACAAUGGAAAUUUGUUCUGCUCCUUUCAAAGUAGCCAACAUCCUCAGGCAAAAAUUAAAAAGAAAAACCUACCACCACCGACUUUACAGUUACAAUCAGUUGACAUUCUGAUACCUAAGGAUGUAUGACAUGGUGCUGAUAAUGAGAGCAGAAGAUUUAUUAACUAACCUUUAACCCCUUAGUAUGACUUUCAAGAGAUUGUUUGGUUCAGAGAUUUGCAAAAGAGAAAUGGAGAGCAAGAAUAAAGAAAAGUAGAAACUAUGCUGCUAAAAUAAACCAGCC